UAUAAAUAAAUAUACAUACAUGCGCAUAUUAUAUAUAAAUCUAUUUCGCUUGUUUUUAUUCGACUUAAAUUAAAGCGUUUCACCUCGUUUUGCUCGUUUUGGAGGAGAAAGUCUUAUUCAAUAGCUUAAAAAGUACACAAAAUGCGACGGGUUUGAAAGUUAUGUACCCUUGAGGGUAUUCUACAAUUCUCAUAUAGUGGGCUUUAGAUUUUUAUAGCCCAUAUUUGAUGUGUAUAAAUUCAAUUGGACCCAUUUGGCUCAUAUUUUUUCUACGUCAUUGUAAACAACAACAACGUUCACUCACCAACUACUCAAAUAAAACAUAUUUUAAUUUGCCAAAGGGAAUUCACGCCUGAUUGUGUGUUUUUUGGAAUCUGGUGGCUAUGGGUGAAGUUUAUUUUGAAUAGGUGACAUAGGAACACUAUUAUUUCGUCGAUCUUGUCUCGGAGAUCUUUUCUAUUCAAGUGCAAGAAAGAUACACUUCCCGGCACUGGCCUAGCAAUGUUGGGGCUAUGGAGUUGCUGUUGCGUAUAUUGCCGCACGCAAGAGGUCGCAGUGCUGUCACAUAUUCUGUGCGACUAUACUACCGUAGUGACGUAAGGCCAGAGCAAGAUCGGAAAUCGACCCACUCCAUGCAGUGAUUACACCUCGCCGACACCAAUCGAUAAUGGAUGUGGUUCUGACAAACCGAACACAACCAGCGUCCGUGGUUCUUUUCAAUCCCGACACGAAUUAGAAGCGUGCGGAGAAGGUACUCUGGGAUGUACCUCUCCAAUGAUGAAAAAGGACCAACAGGUACACUGAGGCGGCAGCCCCUGACCGAUGAAGGAGCCCAUCGUGUUAGUCCGAUACGCAGAACCGGCUGCCAUGGAAUUGGGCUUUAUACUCUACCUUGAUUAAAUUUGCCUAGUGUUCAUUGGUAUUGUGUUUGACGUAUGUACUCGUCCAAACUCGGAGGUCCCCGUGGCGCAGAGGUUAGCAUGUCCGCCUAUAACGCAGAAUGUCUGUCUUCAAUACCGGCUUGAACAUCACAAACAUUUUUUUCAGCUGUGAUUAUCCCCUUACAUAUGCUGGCGACAUUUGCACUUUUCUAACAAGUGGUGUCGCUAGCGGCACGCCAUAUUGUGGGAAAUUUUACUUCAAAAGUGUAGUUUAAUUCAAAAUUGAAAUUUCAAGCUAUAAAGACAUAUUAUGCAUCGUUCUAAACAUGGUCUUAGGACAUAUCACCUAGUAACAGUAGGUUCAUGAACAUACACAUUUUUGGUUUUGUCAUACUAACAUGAUUUCUUAUUGUACGAAUUUUUUGUAAACUUUAAACCUAUCCGUUGGGUUGAACUAAUUUUCUAAAUUCUGCCGCAGUGAAAAUCAUAAUUUUGUAUAUAACGAUAAAAUAAAUUUCUGCCCACUUUAAAUUUUUUCAACCUAAUGGCUGGUACUACACUGUCGGACAAAAUAAAGUGCGGUUGUGUACCCUUCUUCAUUAAUCCUCAAUAUUUUUUUAUCUACGUGUAUUAUUUACUGUUUUUUUAUUGUGCCGUUAUUUGUUGGAGAGCCUCAAUUAUUUCCAUAAACAUUUGAAAAAUCUUAACUCGUUCGUUCAGGUUUCUGAUGUAAAAGAAUUGUUUUGUAAAAUAAGUCUUCGCGACAUAAUAAAAAUGCAUUUUUUUAUAAAUCGAGAAAAUUUAUAAUAUAUUCCUGAUUUGUUUGACAAAAGUUGUGGAAAUAAACUGGACCAUUACUUUUUCGAAAUGAAGCCCUUAACCGAAACUCAAAAAGAUAUAUUGGUACAAGAACGCGACAAUGGGAUGAAAUUGAAAGCUUUCAGUUCCAAGUAUAAAAUAUCAGUAUCUGGGUUGGUAGGCUCGUAAAAAUUGGCUCUAAAAUGACUGGAGAUCACUGUGUAAAUAUUUUUAAAGAGCAUUUUUAUAGCAGUGUGGAAGCAAUGGGCUUGGGGGAGUUCAUAUUUCAACAAGACAACAACCCAGAACAAACGAGUAAGGUCGCAAAAAAAUAUUUUGAAGAAAAUAACGUUGAAAAAUUAGAAUGGCCUGCUCAAAGCCCUUAUCUAAACCCCAUAGAGGAUUUUUGGGCUAUCCUAGAUGACAAAAUCCCGAUGGAAUCCAAAUCAAAUCUUCAAACAUUUGGGAAAAAAUGCAAAGUGAAGAACCUUGCUUUAAGUAUGCCGAAAAGAUUGAAACACAACAAAACUUUCAAUGAUAACACUUUUAUGAUUUUUUUUCAUAAGUAAUGAGGGAAUGUCCUACUGAAUAAACUCGCAGAAUUAAUUUCUCCCCCGAAUAAAAUCCUCCUAUUCUGAUUGUAUGGGGAGAGAAAAAAUUUGGGAGAGGGAAUUUGGAAUAUUCCAAUAACGGCUGCUUGCUUCAGCUGUUUUAUUUUGCCUAAACAUUUUACUAUUAUUUUUUUUAAAAAAAGAACAUAAAAUGGGAAAACAAGCAAAAAGUAUUAUAAAUGUUGUUAAGAAGUUUACAAACAUGUUUAUUGUUGCUUUGUUAAAGUUUGUUUUACCUUUUUAUAUUUUUGUUGUGCACAGUUAGGUCUACACCUUGUCAUGAUGUUUCCUUGUUGUGAUUACAACUUGCCGUCUUCGUCCAACAAUCUCUGGAUAAGAUAAGAUGCUUCCAGAGUGGUCUUGUGGACUGAUAAAUAGAUUAAUUGUGUGGUGUUGUCUCUGGUUGCAUGCAGGGCACACUUACUGCACGUUGGCAGGAUUCGCAGCGAAAAUACCUAUUAAAUUAUUGCGAAAUCCGUCCUCCAUUCGUUGCCAGAACGCAAACAAAAGCCAAACAACAACACACAACAAAGACAACAGUGUGGCGAAUAGUUGGUGAUUAAAGUAAAGGUGGAGUUUAAUACCUCGCGCAGUACUUAUGCUUAAUUACGCGUGCUGUCAAAAAAAAUUAAAUAGGUUGGUUUGUAUUGUGUGAGUUACACAAUAAAUGCAAUCACGUGUCUGACGGAAAAACUUAACCAACUUUAAACUUCGAACGCGUUUCAGGGCUCAAAACAUAUGACUAUCUAAAAAUUAUUUUGUAGUCCGUAAAUUAGAUCGGACCAGAUCUCAUUGGAAGGUUUAAGUGUGCUACACGUACAGAAUUUCAGCCAAAUCGGAUGAAAAUGGGGCCAUCUAGAGGUUCAGGUGUAUUUUACGUACCAAAUUUCAACCAAAU
rnacentral:sRNA from 1 species